ensembl:lncRNA
GAACUCUUAGGAGUGAAGCAUUUCCCGCUCUCUUGCUGUUCCUCCUAAAUGUUUCCUCUGUAGCUGCAUAAGCUGGCAGGCAGCCUGAGAUGGAACCCUCCUCAGAAGACCCCCACCUCUACUGGACCACCCGGCUCCUGGGACUCACUAGCCUGCUCCUCAGCAUCUGUAGCACAGUGGCCAGUAAUUCUGUAUCACAUGGUUCUGAAGCUCAGGAUCCUGGAUUUGUUCCUAUGUAUGGGACCCAAGGAGGUUCUGUGUUGUUUCAUGUGAUCAAGAAGCAAGAAGCUGACCCAGAGGAGAUCUCAUGGGGCUUUGGUCCUCAGUCAAACUACAGAGUCCUGCUGCGAGUCCACCGUGGGGCAGACACCCCAACCUGGGUCAGCCUCCAGGACAAGUACCAGCAGAGGGUCCAUGUGCCCAAUGUGACAUCCUUGAAGAUUGAGAACCUGACCCGAGAGGACAGUGGGCAGUACCGGGCUCGAGCCAGGUUCACUGGAGGAAGAGAACUUACCCAGGUUUUCCACCUCACUGUCUAUGAGCCCUUGAUCCUUCCUGAGAUCCUGGUGAAGUCAUCAUCCACCACACCGAGCUGGUGCAAUGUCACCCUGGAGUGCAAGUCCCCAGGAAACAGAGAAGACCUGAAGGUAACCUGGGAGAGCAAGGGCCUUCCCAGUGAGCUGGCGUGGAGUGAGACACCAGAACUAGCCCCCAACACCUGGCAACUGACUAUGAACUUGUCUCUGAAUAAGCCCAAUGCCAUCCUCAACUGUGUGGUCAGCAACAAUGUGGACAAGAAAACUGCCUCUGUAGACUUUGUGCAAGUCUGUUCCCAUGGUUCACACAGACAGACGAUUGCUGACUCCCUUGGAGGCAUCCUGUGGACCAUCGUGGUUGUGCUAUUCUUCCUGGGAACUUGACUGUGCUUUUGGAAAAUGUAUAAGAGGGAAAGGAACAUGGAUACCAGAAGAGGGUAUCAGUGAGCAAUGUCUGAAAGAAGAGUUGCCUCUCAGCACUGUCUACUCUGUGAUCCAGAACACAGGCCAGAGCAUGAAGAAAAUUAAAAAAACAGGGUACUCUUGGGACACCUCCUCCACUCUGAUGCUGACAUCCUUCAGACACCCGCUUCUCCAAUUCAGUUUCAGCCCCAGCUGCCCCUGGUCUUUUACUUUGACUCAUGUGAUGCCAGCUCAGCAAGAGACUGAGCUGGAGUUUCAGAGCCAAUAUUGGGCCAAGUUUUGUCCUGGUCACUUGUUGGAUUCCUUUAAUGGACCGGAACCUGGUGGUAUGAAGUCAACGAUAAGAAAGUGAAAGAGAGAGAGAGAAAGAAAGAAAGAAGGAAGGAAGGAAAGACACAGGGACCCAAGCUCGGAUGGAGCAAAGGUAUUGUAUUAGAAGAAAUGCAGGUUUACAUAUCUUUAGUAAGAUGAUUACUCAGCUGUUACACAGGAUGAAAUUUUAUCAAUAGCCACAAUAUGGAUAGUCUAAUACAUUCAAGGUCGCUGACAGUGAAAAGAGUCACUGAAGGAAGUUACUGAAAGGAAUCCAAGCAGAUACCUUUUCUCAUGAUCUCAGUCCUGAGAGCUGCGUGCAGCUCUACUUGUUCUCGGAAUAAGAACUGAUAAGGAACAGAUAAUUUAUGAGAAACAGCACGUAGGAAUCCUCCUGUUAAACAUUCCCUGACAAUUCCCCUUUAUUUAUUUAUAAUAUUUGUAAAAAGUGUUCUGACCAUUUGAGUUUGUUUAGUUUUAACAACUUUUGCAUGAAGGCAAUGGUAAAUGACAAAUAUAAUUGUCAAGACAAUCACAAAAAUUACAGUCCCAGACCCGAUGCUGUGAAUAAUGCUUUGAAACUAUCUGCUUGGGUCUAGCCCAGAUAAUCGAUCAGCUAGUUGUUCAGCUAAACUUUUCAAAUUAGUGGAAAAGGGCAGAUUUUUAGAAAAGGUUUCAAAGAUUUUUUUUUUUUGGUAAUA